GGUUUGGUCCUGGCCUUGAAGUCAGUUUUUAUUUAAUAUACACAUGCAAGUCUCCGCACCCCUGUGAAAACGCCCUCAAUUCCCCGUUUGGGAAUAGGAGCUGGUAUCAGGCACAACUAAAGCCCAAAACACCUAGCCUCGCCACACCCACAAGGGACUUCAGCAGUGAUUAACAUUGAGUAUUAGCGUCAGCUUGACUCAGUUAAACUUCUUAGAGCCGGCCAAUCUGGUGCCAGCCGCCGCGGUUACACCAGAAGCUCAAGUUGACUUCUAUCGGCGUAAAGCGUGAUUAAAGUAACUAUUACUUGGAGUUAAACUAAAACUAAGCUGUAACACGCCUGUUACCUAAGAAAUCCAAAAACGAAAGCUACUCCAAUUUUCUCCACUUGAAUUCACGACACCUGAGAAACAAACUGGGAUUAGAUACCCCACUAUGCUCAGUCGUAAACUUUAAAUUACCCCCCCCCUCGCCCGGGAACUACGAGCCAAGCUUAAAACCCAAAGGACUUGACGGUACCCCAUAUCCACCUAGAGGAGCCUGUCCUAUAAUCGAUAACCCCCGUUCAACCUCACCAUUUUUAGCUAUUCAGCCUGUAUACCUCCGUCGUCAGCUUACCACGUGAGCGUCAGUGAGCUUAAUGUUUCUCAACCAUACGUCAGGUCAAGGUGCAACUAAUAAAAUGGAAAGAGAUGGGCUACACUCUCUAACAUAGACCAUACGAAAGACUAUCAAUGAAAAUUUAUCAGAAGGCGGAUUUAGUAGUAAAAAGAAAUCAAAAAGUUCUUUUAAAUCUGGCACUGGGGUGUGUACACACCGCCCGUCACCCUCCUCUAUUGCACAGAACAGUAGAUAACUCACCCUAGCUAAACAGAAGAGGUAAGUCGUAACAUGGUAAGUAUACCGGAAGGUGUGCUUGGAAA
rnacentral:ncRNA from 1 species